UACGGGGGGAGCAAGCGUUGUUCGGAUUUACUGGGCGUAAAGGGCGCGUAGGCGGUCAGCACAAGUCAGUUGUGAAAUCUCCGGGCUUAACUCGGAACGGUCAAGUGAUACUGUCGGACUAGAGUACAGAAGGGGCAACUGGAAUUCUCGGUGUAGCGGUGAAAUGCGUAGAUAUCGAGAGGAACACCUGCGGCGAAGGCGGGUUGCUGGGCUGAUACUGACGCUGAUGCGCGAAAGCCAGGGGAGCGAACGGG
rnacentral:rRNA from 1 species